rnacentral:piRNA from 1 species
UGAAGGAUGUGAAGAGCAUAGAGUAGUAUGU